rnacentral:snoRNA from 1 species
GGCACUAUAUUUAAACCUAUGUAUGGGAAAUGUCCCCAUUCUUGGUUACGCUGUAGUGCAAAAAGAAUUCCUGGCUCCUUGUAGCACAGCUGACUCAUGCCAUUUUGCUGUUGCUUUAUGGAGUUAAGGAACAUGA